rnacentral:rRNA from 1 species
UACGUAGGGUGCGAGCGUUGUCCGGAAUUAUUGGGCGUAAAGAGCUCGUAGGCGGUGCGUCGCGUCGGCCGUGAAAACCUGCAGCUUAACUGUGGGCUUGCGGUCGAUACGGGCAUCACUGGAGUUCGGCAGGGGAGACUGGAAUUCCUGGUGUAGCGGUGAAAUGCGUAGAGAUCUGGAAGAACACCAAAGGCGAAGGCAGCAUCCUGGGAAGGCACUGACGCUAAUGUGCGAAAGCCAGGGGAGCGAACGGG